AGCACACUGGUAAAGCAAUAGGAGCCUGCAUUGGCUAAAGUUGUUGGGAUGCACCUUAUUUUAUAACAGGGAGGGGCAAAGUUGUGCAUUACAAUGCAAACACGACAAUAAUUGGCACCGUUCUUGCGCACUCAGAAGAACAUGAACUGAAUAAAUGCCAGGUAUAUAGCAUAUCGGAGACGGGUACACAAUCAGUGCAUUUGCAAAUGAGAGCCUGCAGUAGGACCGAUCUUGUGACAUUAUUUAACCAUCCAUCUACAGCUAAUACGAUCAGACAGAUACAUCAUUGAUCACAUAAAAGCCCACAACAAGCCCAACAUCACCACGGCAGGUGCGCUCUCUCUCGCACAUUCACACAAUCACUCCAACUUCUCCAACUCCAAGGCAAGGCUGUUUCACUAAGACCACAAACAACCACAACUAACCAGCCUACAUAUCCACAAUAAUGCACAACAAUCAGUUAUAUACAUUGCGUCUAUCUUCUGUUUGGUGCACAUGGCUAAUUUGCAUAGUUUGCACCGGACUGUCUGCUCCGCUUGUCAAAAAAAUAGAACGUAUUUGUGAAUAAAUGCUUUGAAUUCUGAAUACUGGACUUGGUGAGCUUGAAUAGGCUAAAUUUAAGUGACCUUUAGUGAGAUGGCCUAAUACGGAAUACAAAUGAAUUAUUCUAGGACAUAUAGGCUUUCAGGAUCAAUUCAGAGGUUCAACUGUUCGGGAUUCAUUUUGCUUAGCCAUAGUCAUUAUGCGCUAAAAUGGUCCCUGCCAGUGUUUUUCUAUUCUGAUGUUUGUGGAUGAAUCUUUCAGCUACAGCUUUGUUACAUUUCCUUGCGAUGGUUUGCUAGUUUAACUAUACAGCAAUAAAUCAAAUGAUGUAAGUUGAUGUGUCCGUUGCGUGGCUGUCAUGUGAGAGCCGUAUACGCAUUUUAAAAACACCUGUAAUCAGCGUGACUAUGACUUUCCGAGCGGAUCAUGGGGGGCUCUUCAAUCAUUUAUUUUUUAGGAUUUUCUCCCGUCAUCCUCCAGUUUAUUGCAAACAUCUGGAGAUAAGUAGGUUUAAUUAAAUACUCAAGUGAAAUACAAGUGUACCUCCAAAUUGCACUUAUUGUACAGUACUUCGGUAAGGGCAUUUACAAUCCAUCACUAAAGUUUUAAUAGAAUAUUCUGAUUCAGCGGAUUUAAAAUGUAUUUGUAUAAUCUUCACAAAUCUUGCAGCAAUGCAAUGUUAAUAUAUCAUCAUGGGAAAUGAGUAUUCUGAUUCAGCACAUUUACUAUUUAUUUGUAUAAUCUUCACAACUCACAGCAAUGAAAUGUUAAUUUAUCAUCAUGGGAAAUAGCAUAUAGACAAGCUUCAUAAAAAUUCAUUUCUAAGCAGUAGGCCUACUACAUAUUUCUCAACGUAAGCAUCAUGACCAUAAGCUAUCCCAACGUUUUCACACCUUUCACACAGUAGGGCAGCAUUAGUCAUGCAUGAUUAACAACACAUCAAAGAAACUUUAUUGAGGGAUAACAGUGAAUAAAACAUCUGCGUCUUGGGUAAAGAUGGGCUAUGCUUAAUGUGAGGAGCAGAGCCCGAUUGGAAGGAAGCCCAUUCAGGACGAAGUUUACCCGGAGAAGGCAGCUUCCAGGCAGAUGAAGAUGGGGGGGCUCUACUUCUUAUUACCACAACAGGAACAGAACGCAGCCAAGCCAAUGAAUUCAGCCAAGUCACUGAGAAGUCUGUCUUUAACAUUUGGAAAAUACAGUUCAACCAUGUAGGACUUUUCUAAUUCCCCACUGUACUUUACAGAGAUAGAGCACUUUGUUGCAGUCAGACAUUUGUUUUUGUUUACCUUUAACAUAGUGAGGCUGGAACACAAUAGUUUGACCUGGCUUGGUGGAAAGCCCACUCACCACGUCAAGGUGCAGGUCAUGAAAAAAGGUGUGUGUGUGUGUAAUUCCCUAUGCUGUGCUGUAUUUACAGGUAUGCCUAGGUUCACAAAUCAAAUAGUAAAUAUUUUUUUACUUCUUAUUACCACAACAGGAACAGAACGCAGCCAUUCAGCCAAGUCACUGAGAAGUCUGUCUUUAACAUUUGGAAAAUACAGUUCAACCAUGUAGGACUUUUCUAAUUCCCCACUGUACUUUACAGAGAUAGAGCACUUUGUUGCAGUCAGACAUUUGUUUUUGUUUACCUUUAACAUAGUGAGGCUGGAACACAAUAGUUUGACCUGGCUUGGUGGAAAGCCCACUCACCACGUCAAGGUGCAGGUCAUGA